CCGGAAUUGGCGGAAUUGGCAGACGCACCAGACUUAGGAUCUGGCGUGGUAACACGUGGGGGUUCAAGUCCCUUAUUCCGGACCA
rnacentral:tRNA from 8 species